rnacentral:tRNA from 1 species
ACCCAAGUGGCUGAAGGGUCCGCACUCGAAAUGCGGUAGGUCGGGCAACCGGCGCGAGGGUUCAAAUCCCUCCAUCU